UGGGGAAUAUUGGACAAUGGGCGAAAGCCUGAUCCAGCCAUGCCGCGUGAGUGACGAAGGCCUUAGGGUUGUAAAACUCUUUCGUCGGGGACGAUAAUGACGGUACCCGAAGAAGAAGCUCCGGCUAACUUCGUGCCAGCAGCCGCGGUAAUACGAAGGGAGCUAGCGUUGUUCGGAAUCACUGGGCGUAAAGCGCACGUAGGCGGAUAGUUAAGUCAGGGGUGAAAUCCUGGGGCUCAACCCCAGAACUGCCUUUGAUACUGGCUGUCUCGAGGUCGAGAGAGGUUGGUGGAAUUCCUAGUGUAGAGGUGAAAUUCGUAGAUAUUAGGAAGAACACCAGUGGCGAAGGCGGCCAACUGGCUCGAUACUGACGCUGAGGUGCGAAAGCUUGGGGAGCAAACAGGAUUAGAUACCCCAGUAGUCCCUGAGCGGGCUGGCAAGGCGCAU
rnacentral:rRNA from 1 species